rnacentral:rRNA from 1 species
ACGGGUGAGUAAUGUCUGGGGAUCUGCCCGAUAGAGGGGGAUAACCACUGGAAACGGUGGCUAAUACCGCAUAACGUCGCAAGACCAAAGAGGGGGACCUUCGGGCCUCUCACUAUCGGUUGAACCCAGAUGGGAUUAGUUAGUAGGCGGGGUAAUGGCCCACCUAGGCGACGAUCCCUAGCUGGUCUGAGAGGAUGACCAGCCACACUGGAACUGAGACACGGUCCAGACUCCUACGGGAGGCAGCAGUGGGGAAUAUUGCACAAUGGGCGCAAGCCUGAUGCAGCCAUGCCGCGUGUAUGAAGAAGGCCUUCGGGUUGUAAAGUACUUUCAGCGGGGAGGAAGGCGAUGCGGUUAAUAACCGCGUCGAUUGACGUUACCCGCAGAAGAAGCACCGGCUAACUCCGUGCCAGCAGCCGCGGUAAUACGGAGGGUGCAAGCGUUAAUCGGAAUUACUGGGCGUAAAGCGCACGCAGGCGGUCUGUUAAGUCAGAUGUGAAAUCCCCGGGCUUAACCUGGGAACUGCAUUUGAAACUGGCAGGCUUGAGUCUUGUAGAGGGGGGUAGAAUUCCAGGUGUAGCG